AUUGAACGCUGGCGGCAUGCUUUACACAUGCAAGUCGAACGAGUGGCGAACGGGUGAGUAAUAUAUCGGAACGUACCGAGUAAUGGGGGAUAACCAAUCGAAAGAUUGGCUAAUACCGCAUAUUAUUCGAGCGGCCGAUAACUGAUUAGCUAGGUGGUGGGGUAAAGGCCUACCAAGGCGACGAUCAGUAGCGGGUCUGAGAGGACGAUCCGCCAGACUGGGACUGGUAAACGGCCCAGACUCCUGAGGGAAGCAGCAGUGGGGAAUUUGGGACAAUGGGGGCAACCCUGAUCCAACCAUGCCGCGUGUAAGAAGAAGGCCUUCGGGUGGUAAAGUACUUUCAGCGGGGAGGCGUUACCCGCAGAAGAAGCACCGGCUAACUCCGUGCCAGCAGCCGCGGUAAUUC
rnacentral:rRNA from 1 species